rnacentral:rRNA from 1 species
CAGCCGCCGCGGUAAUACGCAGGUGGCGAGCGUUGUCCGGAAUUAUUGGGCGUAAAGGGAGCGCAGGCGGACAUAUAAGUCCAUCUUAAAAGUGCGGGGCUCAACCCCGUGAGGGGAUGGAAACUGUAUGCCUUGAGUGCAGGAGAGGAAAGCGGAAUUCCCAGUGUAGCGGUGAAAUGCGUAGAUAUUGGGAGGAACACCAGUGGCGAAGGCGGCUUUCUGGACUGUAACUGACGCUGAGACUCGAAAGCCAGGGGAGCGAACGGGAUUAGAUACCCGCGUAGUCCCUGUCUCUUAUAAA